rnacentral:lncRNA from 1 species
GCAGUCCCUCCCCGCCCCCGCUCUCCCCUCCGCAGCCUGCAGCCCGAGACUUCUGUAAAGGACUGGGGCCCCGCAACUGGCCUCUCCUGCCCUCUUAAGCGCAGCGCCAUUUUAGCAACGCAGAAGCCCGGCGCCGGGAAGCCUCAGCUCGCCUGAAGGCGGCGGAAGGUGAUCGAAUUCCGGUGAUGCGAGUUGUUCUCCGUCUAUAAAUACGCCUCGCCCGAGCUGUGCGGUAGGCAUUGAGGCAGCCAGCGCAGGGGCUUCUGCUGAGGGGGCAGGCGGAGCUUGAGGAAACCGCAGAUAAGUUUUUUUCUCUUUGAAAGAUAGAGAUUAAUACAACUACUUAAAAAAUAUAGUCAAUAGGUUACUAAGAUAUUGCUUAGCGUUAAGUUUUUAACGUAAUUUUAAUAGCUUAAGAUUUUAAGAGAAAAUAUGAAGACUUAGAAGAGUAGCAUGAGGAAGGAAAAGAUAAAAGGUUUCUAAAACAUGACGGAGGUUGAGAUGAAGCUUCUUCAUGGAGUAAAAAAUGUAUUUAAAAGAAAAUUGAGAGAAAGGACUACAGAGCCCCGAAUUAAUACCAAUAGAAGGGCAAUGCUUUUAGAUUAAAAUGAAGGUGACUUAAACAGCUUAAAGUUUAGUUUAAAAGUUGUAGGUGAUUAAAAUAAUUUGAAGGCGAUCUUUUAAAAAGAGAUUAAACCGAAGGUGAUUAAAAGACCUUGAAAUCCAUGACGCAGGGAGAAUUGCGUCAUUUAAAGCCUAGUUAACGCAUUUACUAAACGCAGACGAAAAUGGAAAGAUUAAUUGGGAGUGGUAGGAUGAAACAAUUUGGAGAAGAUAGAAGUUUGAAGUGGAAAACUGGAAGACAGAAGUACGGGAAGGCGAAGAAAAGAAUAGAGAAGAUAGGGAAAUUAGAAGAUAAAAACAUACUUUUAGAAGAAAAAAGAUAAAUUUAAACCUGAAAAGUAGGAAGCA